rnacentral:rRNA from 1 species
UACGGGGGGGGUAAGCGUUGUUCGGAAUCACUGGGCGUAAAGGGCGUGUAGGCGGUCAGGUAAGUGAGACGUGAAAUGCCCCGGCUUACCCGGGGACCUGCGUCUCAUACUGCUUGGCUUGAGUACGGGAGAGGGUGUGGGAAUUCCUGGUGUAGCGGUGAAAUGCGUAGAUAUCAGGAGGAACACCGGUGGCGAAGGCGCACACCUGGCCCGAUACUGACGCUGAGGCGCGAAAGCUAGGGGAGCAAACGGG